rnacentral:lncRNA from 1 species
CUGGAUAUGCAUCACUGGGCGGCGGAGGAGUUAUUGUGUGGCGGCCGGCAAAGUUCCGGCCGGUGAUGGUGGUGGUGCACGGCCUUCCGCCGCUCCCCGGGACCCACGUGCAACCAUUUGGUGAAGGCGGCCUUACAGGGCGGCCCCGCUGCAAAGUCGGUAGCAAAAUAUUUUGGCUUCUCGUCAUCCAUAACUGCUCUGCUUCUUCAUCAAGAAGUCGAGUGGCCUCGUACGAUUUUACGCUUAGGAGCAAAACUAGUGCUGCAAUGCUAAAGAUUACUUUUGCAGACC